UAUAUAUAUAUCAACACAAUGUGGUAGUGCAUGAAUCAAUAAUAGUCACAUGUCACAAGAUGAAGACAAUCUAUCAAAAGCUUGUUCCCAAGGCACUUGUUUUUAUGAUAAGCUUGAUAAUCCAUUCAAAUGUUUGAUAAAUACAUUAUAUCCCUAAAACAAGUUUUGAAAUGCAAGUCCACUCACCGGUAUUAGGAGUAAAAAUACUCCUAUUUUCAGUCCGCAGGUACAGUCCUUUACCCGUAUCCAAUGGCUCACCACCUAGCCAUAAUCCAUGACACAUAUUCCAAUUAAAUUGUGUCUAACAGUCAUAAGCUAUUUCAGGCUCGAUAUAUAUAUGAUAUGAAAUGAAAAAUGCACGGGUAGCCAUCUAGACCCGGUAUUGGCCUAAGUCGAUUUUUCAUCCGAUAAAUUGGCCAAUGCGUCCAAUUUCACUCCAACUUGCUCCAUUUCUUUUCCAAUCCCUCAAUUCACCAAGCACAAACUAAUUAACACACAAUUAGGCAAAAUUUAUCUUCAUUUUUCUUCUUGGAACUUUGGCCAACAAUGGUACACUAACUCCGUGAUUUUUCCUACUUAAUUUUCUCACCAUUAUUCAUUAAUUCCUACACCAAAAACUAUUAUUUCUUAAUCAAAUCACCUAGAAUAACAUCCCAUUCUUCCUCAUUAUUCACUUAGAGAAUUCGGCUAUUGAUGGGCACCAAACCUUUGGUGGUUUUCUUCACUUGUUUUCAUGCUACACAUCAUUAAUCACCUAAAAACACUAACAUACCUAAAAAUCAAACCAAUCCAAGAUCAUUCUCUCUCCAUACCCAUUUUGCCUACCACUUAUUCACUAUGAAAUCAUGUUUCUCAACCAUAGAAAUAAGAAAAUAAAGCUUGGGUAUUAUAAAUCUCAAGUAAAAAUAAAGAAUUUUCACUUUACCUCGCUUAAUUCCUUGGAAUCCUACACUUUUUCUUCAAUUUUUCCACCUAGGGUUUGUGUUCUUUCCUUUCCUC
rnacentral:lncRNA from 1 species